rfam:Schistosoma rodhaini strain Burundi genome assembly, scaffold: SROB_scaffold0009119
CCACUGAUGAGGGGUCCCACAAUAGGACGAAACAACCGUCCAGUGC